GUUUCUGUAGUGUAGUGGUUAUCACGUUUGCCUAACACGCAAAAGGUCCCUGGUUCGAGACCGGGCGGAAACA
rnacentral:tRNA from 1 species